UGUCUUGCUUUAGCAGCAUGUAAAUAUUGGAGUUACACCAUGGCAGAUGCCUCCAGUAUGCUCGUGCUGCUGAAGCAAGAAGCCACCAAUCGGCAC
ensembl:miRNA